rnacentral:lncRNA from 1 species
GGAGGAUCAGGGACGCCUGGUGGACCCCUUUGAAGGCCAAGAGACCAUUUGGGGUUGCGAGAUCGUGGGUUAGAGUCCCACCUCGUGCCCAGUUGCGAGAUCGUGGGUUCGAGUCCCACCUCGCGUUUUGUUGCGAGAUCGUGGGUUUGAGUCCCACCUCGCACCUUGUUGCGAGACCGUGGGUUCGAGUCCCACCUCGCGUCUGGUCACGGGAUCGUGGGUUCGAGUCCCACCUCGUGCAGAGGGUCUCAAUCGGCCGGCCUUAGAGAGGCCAUCUGAUUCUUCUGGUUUCUUUUUUGUCUUAGUCUCGUGUCCGCUCUUGUUGUGACUACUGUUUUUCUAGAAAUGGGACAAUCUGUGUCCACUCCCCUUUCUCUGACUCUGGAGCAUUGGAAGGAGGUGCGGGUCAGAGCCCACAACCAGUCGGUGGAGGUCAGAAAGGGUCAGUGGCAGACCUUUUGCGCCUCCGAGUGGCCAACGUUUGGAGUAGGCUGGCCACCUAAGGGUGCUUUUGACUUGUCACUAAUCGCCGCCGUCAGGCAAAUUGUUUUUCAGGAGAAAGGGAGUCGAUGUGGAAUCCGACCCCGUCAGGAAAUAGCGUUUGGCUUGGCUGGUUGUACAAGUCCAGGCGUGGACGAGUGUGCUUAGAGAUACUGGUGUCUUCUUUUUCUCUGUUGCUAUCUUGUUUUUGUUUGUGGUUUUUGUCAUGAGACACAGACACUGUACGUCAGAGGUAAAGUGAGAUCCCUCCCUGUCUGUAUGUCUGUGUGUCUGUGUGUCUUGUUCACUUGUGUGUCCUCCAUUGGACCACCUUCUGAUUCUGUUUUGUUUUUGGUUUGUCUGGUUUCAGGUCUGGUCUUGGUCCCAAGGAGUUGACUGAUUAUCUUGGUUUGGUUUUAGGCCGGUCUCAGGUUCUGGGGCCUUCCCAUGGAGACAGGUCCAUUUGGGUUGGUCAUAGUGACAGUAAGCUUCUCUGGAAAUCGCAUGUAAGAUGCCCUGUAUUGGUCUUGCUUGUGUUUGUCAUUUCUGUGGUACUGUGAUUCUAUAGUGGUUGCCUGAAAAACGGUUUCUGUGUGUGUCUUUUGUGUCUCUUUGUGUUCGGACUUGGACUGAUGACUGACGACUGUUUUUAAGUUAUGACUUCUGAAAUAAGCCUAAAAAUCCUGUCAGAUCCCUAUGCUGACCACUUCCUUUCAGAUCCUCAGCUGCCCUGCCUCCCACUCCAACUCCAGAGAGCAGCCAGCGGGUCACAGUGGUCCCGCCCAUGGACCUGGAGCCUAGAGAAAAAUGAGCUUAAAAAUCCGGAGCAAAAGAGGGGUGGUCCCUGAGAAGUCAGUGGCCUGAAUGUUGUGGCUGCUGAAGCAAAAAGAAGAGGAGGCUGUGCGAGUAGCCGGCCAAGAACGCUGCAGGUUCCCAGGCAGCUUCUCAUUCCCCUGUCCCUCCCAUCCCGUCUCUUGUUAACAGAAAAACUGCUUUCACUUUAAGAUAAGUGCCGGUUGCAGCCAGCUGUGAGAGCUGCACUCCCGUCUCUGCUCUAAAGUUCCCUCUUCUCAGAAGGUGGCACCACCCUGAGUUGCUGGCAGUGAGUCUGUUCCAAGUUCCAGUGAGGGAGGCAUCCGCCCACUUGGGGCUUCUGUCCAAGGUAAGGAGCACCUGUGAGUCUAACUGCCAGGCUCUGAUGGGGGUCUCGUCUCUGUGGGACUAAAAAGUGUCCCAACAAUCUGACCAAGGUAACAGGAAGUUAAGACAAAGACAGAGACCAGAGUCAGAAUCAGAGCUGUGCUGUGAGACAGAAAGAUAAGAAAAAUAAAAUGUUGGCCACAAAAGUCAGGAAAACUAGAAAACUUAGAUAGUACCUGGCAACAAAAGAAAGCUUUUGGCUGAAGAUCAAUGUGUUUAAGAGAUAACAAAAGGGGUGCUAACACAGAAGCUGAGUCCUUAAAAGAGUCCGGUGGCCUACCUGUUGAAGCAGCUAAAAAAGAGACUGUGUUUCAUAUUCCUCCACCGACCAGUGCAAAACAAGCUAAAAAGUUCCUGGGCACUGCGGGCUUUUGCAGAUUGUGGAUUCCAGGUUUUGCUUAAUUAAAGAGAUAAACAGCCCUUCGUAUAGAAAAAUAAAGAACAAUCUUAGAUGGCCUUGGAUGCUAUUGAGACUGCCCUGAUGUUAUCCCCAGCUAUGGGACUUCUAGAUGUGACUGAGAACAAAGGUAUUGCCAAAGAAGUUCUUACUCAGAGAUUGGGACCCUGGAAAAGACCUGUGGCAUACUUGUAAGAAAUUAGACCUGGUGGCUGUAAGAUGGCCUGCUUGUCUGCACAUAGUGGCUUCUGGUCAAGGACGCAGAUAAAUUGACUCUGAGACAAAACUUGACACAUGUCCUAGAAAGUGUGGUUCAGCCCCCAUGACCGAUGGCUGACUAACGCUCUUAAAAGCAUUAUCCAACUGUUCCCCUGACCGAUGGACACAUUGUCAGAGCUUUGACUGAACGAGUGACCUUCGCUCCCCCUGCUAUCCUCGAUCUCACUACUGCCUGAGACUUCACCUACUCAUCAUUGUGCUGACAUUCUGGCAGAAGGAACUCAUACUCGAAAUGAUCUGAAGGAUCAGAUCAGCCUUGGCCUGAGAGUUCGAGCUGGUACACGGAUGGCAGUAGCCUGGAGGUUGAGGGUAAGCGGAAGGCGGGGACAGCAGUGCAGUGGUAGACAGAAAGCAAGUGAUCUAGGCCAGCAGCCUCCCUAAAGGGACUUCAGCCCAGAAAGCUAAACUUGUGGCUUUAAUACAAGCUCUAUAUAUACAGACAAAGAGAGCUGUUGACAUCUGCAGAAAAAGACCUAAGAUGCUGUGGCUAAAAGAAAUCAGAUGGCAAAUCUAACCGCCCAGGCAUCCUAAAGAGCAAUGAUCCUGACAGUCUGAAGACUAUCAAGUUAUAGACAAAUUAAGACUGGUAAAAGAAACCCUGUAUAAAAUAGUAA